CUGCAGCUGAGACACAGAUCUGUCCUUUUCUUCCCAUCCCCUUGGUGGCGUCGAGUGCCAGCUGGUGGACCGGACCGAGGUCUGGAAGGCACACGGAGAAAUGGGACCACUACGGGACCCGUGCUCAAACCGGGUGCCCAUAGAACACUCUGUGGGACCCUAGGGGCACUUCCCAGACACCAGGGUUCUGAUUCAGCAGACCCAGCUGGGCCUCAGGUCCCCACUCUUGUGAUGGCUUGGUGGGCUUUAGGCCAAGCCGGAGAGACCCCACUCUGAGCCCUGAGGCCACGGGACACGUAGCCUCUCCGGAUGGGGUGCGUGCUCCCCCGAGACCUUCCCUCUGCAGCAGGUGGGGCCUUCUCAGCCCUACUUCAGAUUCGUGGCGCCUACCCCAUGCCUCGGGCAGCCCCUCCCUCGCUGGGCUUCAGUUCCCCGGCCUGGUCGGUUUGUCAGUUUGCAAAGCAGCCUUUCCCCUGAGGCCCGUGGUGUGCCUAACAACCAUCCCACAGAGGAUUUCUCGUGUCUGCAGGCUGUUGGACCUGCCCGGGAGGCUGGCGAACUGGGACUGAUUUUAUCCUCACAAGACCCUCAGCUCCUCAGGGAGCUCAUCUGGGGAGCAAAGCUGACCAGCGAGGAGGCUUUAACAAGCCCGAAGGCGAUUGUGAUGCUCGGGGUGAGACCCGCUCCCCACCGUGGCAGGCUGGGGUGGGGCCAGCAACUCAGGAAAACGCCGGGAUGGCUGCGGCCUGAUCUCGGCAGCCAGGUCGGGCAGUCCACGGCCACGGAUGCCGAGUCUGCUCGGCCGGUGAGCAGGAGAGCACUGCACAUCUUCGCGUGUGAAGAUCCAGAUAAACAUUUAUCUAAAAGGAAAUUCGAAGCUUUUGUGUGCCAAACACCCGUGGCCAAGGUAAAAGGCUGAUUACGUGGGCAUGCGAUUUGCAACAACCACAGUGAGGGGUUAGCAUUUCAAUUAUGUGACGACACAGGUGAUUUAAUGAUGAAAAGUGCUGAGAUCCCCCCAAGUGGAGUGUCAGAGGUCAGGAACGGGCCUUUUGCCAAGAGAAGGAGCCGAGGACGGGCGAAGGCUGGUGGAAAAAAUAAAUACGGCGGCGGUCGAGUGCUUGGAGCGAUG
ensembl:lncRNA